rnacentral:rRNA from 1 species
AGAGUUUGAUCAUGGCUCAGGAUGAACGCUGGCGGCGUGCCUAACACAUGCAAGUCGAGCGCGAUUAGUUGGAACGGAGAUUUCGGUCAAAGGGAAGACUAUGAAAGCGGCGGACGGGUGAGUAACGCGUGAGCAACCUGCCCUGUACAGGGGGAUAGCCACUGGAAACGGUGAUUAAUACCCCAUAACCCCAAAGGAUCGCAUGGUCUAAUGGGCAAAGCCUUGGCGGUACAGGAUGGGCUCGCGUCUGAUUAGCUAGUUGGUGAGGUAAUGGCUCACCAAGGCGACGAUCAGUAGCCGACCUGAGAGGGUGAACGGCCACACUGGAACUGAGACACGGUCCAGACUCCUACGGGAGGCAGCAGUGGGGAAUAUUGCACAAUGGGCGCAAGCCUGAUGCAGCAACGCCGCGUGAGUGAAGAAGGCCUUCGGGUCGUAAAACUCUGUCCUAAGGGAAGAAGAAGUGACGGUACCUUAGGAGGAAGCCCCGGCUAACUACGUGCCAGCAGCCGCGGUAAUACGUAGGGGGCAAGCGUUAUCCGGAAUCACUGGGCGUAAAGGGUGCGUAGGCGGCUGAUCAAGCCAGGGGUGAAAGGCUGUGGCUUAACCAUGGUAAGCCUUUGGAACUGGUCAGCUUGAGUGCAGGAGAGGAAAGCGGAAUUCCUAGUGUAGCGGUGAAAUGCGUAGAUAUUAGGAGGAACACCCGUGGCGAAGGCGGCUUUCUGGACUGUAACUGACGCUGAGGCACGAAAGCGUGGGGAGCAAACAGGAUUAGAUACCCUGGUAGUCCACGCUGUAAACGAUGAAUACUAGGUGUCGGGGGUCAAAGCCCGGUGCCGCAGCUAACGCAUUAAGUAUUCCGCCUGGGGAGUACGGUCGCAAGACUGAAACUCAAAGGAAUUGACGG